UAUAUAUAUAUUUAUAUAUGUGUGUGUGUGUGUGUGUGUGUGUGCGUGCACACUCCUCACACACACACACACACAGAGA
rnacentral:miRNA from 1 species